GUCACACCCCCAGUCCCGGCACUGUGUGUGGCUUCUGGAAAUGUUCCCUCAGUCCCAGCACUGUGUGUGCCUUCGGAAAAUGUUUCCCCAGUCCCAGCACUGUGUGUGCCUUCUGAAAAUGUUUCCCCAGUACCAGCACUUUGUGUGCCUUCUGGAAAUGUUUCCCCAGUCCCUGCUCUGUGUGUGCCUUCGGAAAAUGUUUCCCCCAGUACCAGCACUGUGUGUACCUUCUGGAAAUGUUACCCCCAGCCCCAGCAUUGUGUGUGCUUUCUGGAAAUGUUUCCCCCAGUCCCAGCAUUGUGUGUGCCUUCUGGAAAUGUUUCCCCCAGUCCCAGCACUGUGUGUGCCUUCUGGAAAUGUUUCCCCCAGUCCCAGCACUGUGUGUGCCUUCUGGAAAUGUUUCCCCCAGUCCCAGCACUGUGUGUGCCUUCUGGAAAUGUUUCCCCCAGUCCCAGCACUGUGUGCGCCUUCUGGAAACGUUUCCC